ensembl:miRNA gmo-let-7e-2 gmo-let-7e-2
UGAGGUAGUAGAUUGAAUAGUUGUGGGGCCGAGUCCUCCCUCUGCGUUAACUAUACAAUCUACUGUCUUUCC